GCCGGCAACGCACCUGUAACUCCUCUGGUGUUGCAGGUGUCCAUGGGCGGCGCUGAUCGCUUACAAUCAGGUGACACGUCUGCUCGUUUGCCACCUAUUCCAUAAAAAAAAUAUGAGCAAAAUGUUCACUCUGGAAUUGAAGACACCCAAGUUGCUCCAUAUCUUACGUCUUAAUAUCAACAAUAUGAUAAUAUGUAUCAAAAAUAAAACCGAAUAAACAAUGCCUACACUCGCAUUGGGUAAACACUCAUACAAAUUCGAUUAAUUAAAUCUAUCUCGCAGUUUUAGGCAAUACAGAUAUCACAACAUCGUCCCGACUGAGAUCAUUUGUGUUAAUUGAUCAGAACAUUCAGACGUGUUUGAUAAUAAUUAUUCUACAUCACAGUCGAAUUUAAAGUACGAGAAGUAUAAAAUAAAAUGGAGAUGAAGAUUGUUGAAGAAGAUCCAACCAUGUCGACAAUGGAUAUUUGUAUGUAUAUUUUAAAAAUAACGCUGUGGGUCGGAACUGUAUCAUCAGUGAUUACGUUCAUCUACGGAGUGGUGUCAUGGUGUCUCAUCAAGAAGUUCAGGAACUUUAGAAACUAUGUGCUUCUCGGGCCUAUCUUGGCGAUCACGAUGUGCUGUUUGGCUGCACAUGUACAAGUCUUCAUACUUGCCUCGAAGCCACACCUUGCAGAAACUAUUAUCUUUACCGCCAUAUACGCCUUCCUUUUAUACUUCGCCUUAGUCUUCUAUUGUUUUUUGAUUGUGCUUUGUUACAUCUUCUAUGUUGAUUACGUUAAAGUUUUACAUUUGAAAAUCAAUAACAAAUAUCUUAUUUGUAGCCUAUUUGUCUGGUGUUUCCCGUUCGUUGAAAUUUUUGUAUUUUUCCUAACACGUUUUUUGACAAAUACUUAUCUGUUUCCCCAAUUGUUUUUAAGUUUUGAUGUUUUAUAUAUCUGGGUUUUACCGUUGUUAUUGAGUGUGAUUUGUUAUUUCCUAGUUGUGUAUUCUGUAUUCUGUGGUCACAAAUCAGAGUCGUGGACAUCAAUUAAAAGAUUGGGCCACUUUGGUAUAGCCACGUUUAUAUUUGCAUUCAGUAAUUUCUCUAUAAUAGUACAUUUAUCUAGAGUGUUGGAUAGAGAUGAUUUUAUACUUUUAAUGGUUGGACAAAUACAGCAUUACAUGGUAGCUUUAUUUAUAUGUAUUUAUUUAAUAGUUGUGAGGAGGAAUAGAAUGUUGUGGGGGGAGUUUCUGAAUAAGAAACCGAUACAGACCUCAACAGAUAUGAGUUGAUUGUUUACUAUUUUAGGACUGAUAUGUAUUGUAAUAUUUAAUAUGUAUACCAAAUUUAUAUUAUACGAUUAAUAUAUUUUACUCUUUGA